GGGUUGUGAGGUUAAGCGACUAAGCGUACACGGUGGAUGCCCUGGCAGUCAGAGGCGAUGAAGGACGUGCUAAUCUGCGAUAAGCGUCGGUAAGGUGAUAUGAACCGUUAUAACCGGCGAUUUCCGAAUGGGGAAACCCAGUGUGUUCCGACACACUAUCAUUACGUGAAUACAUAGCGUAAUGAAGCGAACCGGGGGAACUGAAACAUCUAAGUACCCGAGGAAAAGAAAUCAACCGAGAUUCCCCAGUAGCGGCGAGCGAACGGGGAGCAGCCCAGAGUCUGAAUCAGCUUGUGUGUUAGUGGAACGGUCUGGAAAGUCCGACGGUACAGGGUGAUAGUCCCGUACACCAAAAUGCACAGGUUGUGAACUCGAAGAGUAGGGCGGGACACGUGGUAUCCUGUCUGAAUAUGGGGGGACCAUCCUCCAAGGCUAAAUACUCCUGACUGACCGAUAGUGAACCAGUACCGUGAGGGAAAGGCGAAAAGAACCCGGCGAGGGAGUGAAAAAGAACCUGAAACCGUGUACGUACAAGCAGUGGGAGCCUCUUUAUGGGGUGACUGCGUACCUUUUGUAUAAUGGGUCAGCGACUUAUAUUCUGUAGCAAGGUUAACCGUAUAGGGGAGCCGAAGGGAAACCGAGUCUUAACUGGGCGUUAAGUUGCAGGGUAUAGACCCGAAACCCGGUGAUCUAGCCAUGGGCAGGUUGAAGGUUGGGUAACACUAACUGGAGGACCGAACCGACUAAUGUUGAAAAAUUAGCGGAUGACUUGUGGCUGGGGGUGAAAGGCCAAUCAAACCGGGAGAUAGCUGGUUCUCCCCGAAAGCUAUUUAGGUAGCGCCUCGUGAACUCAUCUUCGGGGUAGAGCACUGUUUCGGCUAGGGGGUCAUCCCGACUUACCAACCCGAUGCAAACUGCGAAUACCGAAGAAUGUUAUCACGGGAGACACACGGCGGGUGCUAACGUCCGUCGUGAAGAGGGAAACAACCCAGACCGCCAGCUAAGGUCCCAAAGUCAUGGUUAAGUGGGAAACGAUGUGGGAAGGCACAGACAGCCAGGAUGUUGGCUUAGAAGCAGCCAUCAUUUAAAGAAAGCGUAAUAGCUCACUGGUCGAGUCGGCCUGCGCGGAAGAUGUAACGGGGCUAAACCAUGCACCGAAGCUGCGGCAGCGACACUAUGUGUUGUUGGGUAGGGGAGCGUUCUGUAAGCCGUUGAAGGUGUAUCGUGAGGUAUGCUGGAGGUAUCAGAAGUGCGAAUGCUGACAUAAGUAACGAUAAUGCGGGUGAAAAACCCGCACGCCGGAAGACCAAGGGUUCCUGUCCAACGUUAAUCGGGGCAGGGUGAGUCGACCCCUAAGGCGAGGCCGAAAGGCGUAGUCGAUGGGAAACAGGUUAAUAUUCCUGUACUUGGUGUUACUGCGAAGGGGGGACGGAGAAGGCUAUGUUAGCCGGGCGACGGUUGUCCCGGUUUAAGCAUGUAGGCGGAGGUUCCAGGUAAAUCCGGUACCUUUUUAACGCUGAGGUGUGAUGACGAGGCACUACGGUGCUGAAGUAACAAAUGCCCUGCUUCCAGGAAAAGCCUCUAAGCAUCAGGUAACACGAAAUCGUACCCCAAACCGACACAGGUGGUCAGGUAGAGAAUACCAAGGCGCUUGAGAGAACUCGGGUGAAGGAACUAGGCAAAAUGGUGCCGUAACUUCGGGAGAAGGCACGCUGAUAUGUAGGUGAAGCGGUUUACCCGUGGAGCUGAAAUCAGUCGAAGAUACCAGCUGGCUGCAACUGUUUAUUAAAAACACAGCACUGUGCAAACACGAAAGUGGACGUAUACGGUGUGACGCCUGCCCGGUGCCGGAAGGUUAAUUGAUGGGGUUAUCCGUAAGGAGAAGCUCUUGAUCGAAGCCCCGGUAAACGGCGGCCGUAACUAUAACGGUCCUAAGGUAGCGAAAUUCCUUGUCGGGUAAGUUCCGACCUGCACGAAUGGCGUAAUGAUGGCCAGGCUGUCUCCACCCGAGACUCAGUGAAAUUGAACUCGCUGUGAAGAUGCAGUGUACCCGCGGCAAGACGGAAAGACCCCGUGAACCUUUACUAUAGCUUGACACUGAACACUGGUCCUUGAUGUGUAGGAUAGGUGGGAGGCUUUGAAGUGUGGACGCCAGUCUGCAUGGAGCCAUCCUUGAAAUACCACCCUUUAAUGGCUGGUGUUCUAACGUGGACCCGUGAUCCGGGUUGCGGACAGUGUCUGGUGGGUAGUUUGACUGGGGCGGUCUCCUCCUAAAGAGUAACGGAGGAGCACGAAGGUUAGCUAAUCCUGGUCGGACAUCAGGAGGUUAGUGCAAAGGCAUAAGCUAGCUUGACUGCGAGAGUGACGGCUCGAGCAGGUGCGAAAGCAGGUCUUAGUGAUCCGGUGGUUCUGAAUGGAAGGGCCAUCGCUCAACGGAUAAAAGGUACUCCGGGGAUAACAGGCUGAUACCGCCCAAGAGUUCAUAUCGACGGCGGUGUUUGGCACCUCGAUGUCGGCUCAUCACAUCCUGGGGCUGAAGUAGGUCCCAAGGGUAUGGCUGUUCGCCAUUUAAAGUGGUACGCGAGCUGGGUUUAGAACGUCGUGAGACAGUUCGGUCCCUAUCUGCCGUGGGCGCUGGAGAAUUGAGGGGGGCUGCUCCUAGUACGAGAGGACCGGAGUGGACGCAUCACUGGUGUUCGGGUUGUCAUGCCAAUGGCAUUGCCCGGUAGCUAAAUGCGGAAGAGAUAAGUGCUGAAAGCAUCUAAGCACGAAACUUGCCCCGAGAUGAGUUCUCCCUGAGACUAUAAGUCUCCUGAAGGAACGUUGAAGACGACGACGUUGAUAGGUCGGGUGUGUAAGUGUAGCGAUACAUUGAGCUAACCGAUACUAAUGAACCGUGAGGCUUAACCUUACAACGCCGAAG
rnacentral:rRNA from 1 species